rnacentral:rRNA from 1 species
UACGGAGGGGGCGAGCGUUGUCCGGAAUCACUGGGCGUAAAGGGCGCGUAGGCGGCCUGAUAAGUAGGGGGUGAAAUCCUGCGGCUUAACCGCAGGGCUGCCUUCUAAACUGUCGGGCUUGAGCACAGUAGAGGCAGGUGGAAUUCCCGGUGUAGCGGUGGAAUGCGUAGAGAUCGGGAGGAACACCAGUGGCGAAGGCGACUUCCUGGCCUGUUCUUGACGCUGAGGCGCGAAAGCUAGGGUAGCAAACGGG